rnacentral:rRNA from 1 species
UACAGAGGGGGGCCAGCGUUAUUCGGAAUUAUUGGGCGUAAAGGGCGCGUAGGCGGCUUUGCGUGUCUUUCGUGAAAAUCCCUCGGCUCAACUGAGGACGUGCGGAAGAAACUGCAGGGCUGGAGUCCGGGAGAGGAGGGUGGAAUUCCCAGUGUAGCGGUGAAAUGCGUAGAUAUUGGGAGGAACACCGGUGGCGAAGGGCAGCCCCUCUGGACCGGUACUGACGCUGAUGCGCGAAAGCCCAGGG